UACGGAGGGGGCUAGCGUUGUUCGGAAUUACUGGGCGUAAAGCGCACGUAGGCGGCUUUGUAAGUUAGAGGUGAAAGCCCGGAGCUCAACUCCGGAACUGCUUUUAAGACUGCAUCGCUUGAACGUCGGAGAGGUAAGUGGAAUUCCGAGUGUAGAGGUGAAAUUCGUAGAUAUUCGGAAGAACACCAGUGGCGAAGGCGACUUACUGGACGACUGUUGACGCUGAGGUGCGAAAGCGUGGGGAGCAAACAGG
rnacentral:rRNA from 1 species